AAAUGAAUACCAAGUCUCAAGAGUGAAC
rnacentral:rRNA from 1 species